UAGCAUCACGUCAGAGACGCUUUUGACAGAGGAAGGAAGAGAUUAGAUCUGAGCUGCAUGCGGUUUGUCAACCAACAGUCCACUUGUGCAGACUGCUCUCGGUAUUUAACUGAAACUGGAGGACUAGUGCAGACAUGCUGUCGUCAGAAGCUGAAUGGGUGUUUUUGGGUUUCAUCCUUUACAUCUCAGGCAUUCAAGGACGAGCAAACACUAUCUGUGCCUUGAAUGGUGUUGCAGUGAAUCUGGCCUGCUCGGCUAAACAUCCAUCUUCAGGCAUGAAGUGGCACACCGUAAAUGGAACUAACCAAAAUGUUGUCCUCAAUGAGCUCACUGCAGAUGAAAAUGAAGUAAAGUACAACAUGACUGAAGAGAGUAACUUCACUCUGACAAUCAACAAUGUGAGAGAGAGUGAUGAAAAGUUCUACUGCUGCAGAAACCCCACCGACAACCCAGAAUACUGUUGGGGCAAUAGAACUCAGCUCCAAGUUGCAGGUGCAACAUUUGCUAGUUGUUUUUUUACUUUAAGACUGACAUCAGCUGAGGAUUUCUUUAUUUUGUUCUCCAUCAUCUCAGACCUGCAGGUGAAGGUG